CUAAGAAUGGUCCCAAUGCUGAGGAUGCAGAGCCAGAAAUGGAGAGGGGAAACCCAGAUCCUCUCAGAGCCUGUAUGCCUGGAACAAGCCUUGCCUGAGGGCAGAUCCUGCUGGAAUCCUGAGUUACGAAUCUGCUAAUGACAUUCAUUCAUCACGGGUGCCCUGAAGGCAGGCAGCCAGGUGGAACUUCAGGAGCCUUGACCCCAGACAAUAUUGAGAACACAAGAGGGGACCCGCCUGGUUCCACAGAAGCAGCAGACAAGACCCACUCUUUCAGCUGCUCCUGAGACAGACAGCCUCGCCUUCUGCCCCGGGAAAGCCCCAUUGCAAGGCCCAGAAGCAGCCCUGAGUGGCAGCAGGCUCCCCAAGGC